AUCACUUCCUUCCUACCCCCCACCCCCCUUUCCUCUGCCGAGGGGGAAAAUAAGUGGAUGCUGGAGCACAACGUCCCAGCCAAAGAGCUAUUUUAGUAUUGGCAUCUCCCAUGGCCGCACGGCUUUCCCCACCCACAGGACGGCAUGGUCCAGGAAGUGCCGGCAGUAGCGCUACGGUCCAGAGGAGGAGGGAGACCCAGAGAGCAGCGUGGAGAGCCUACCUCUUCAUAGUUCUGUUCUGUUUCAGAGUCAGGAAAACUCAACAUAUACUCUGCAAAGCAAGAAAAAAAGGUUAGGAUAUGCCAGGAUGCACAGCUUUUCUUUAGUCGUAACUCAAAGAGAACAAAAAUCAUCAGAAGUAUCUCUAAAAUUAGAAGCAUAAGCAAGCAACAUUAUAAAAACGUGGGAGAGGAAAUAUCUACGGAGCAGUGCAUCUCAACUAUUGGUAACAAGCACUAAGCAGUGGCCUCUUCACGUUAUUAAUAGCAUAAAAAAUAAAGUAUAUGCAGGUACCAUCAGGAAUGUCGAGGUGUCUAGAAUUCUUUUUCCUAAACAAGACGACAGACAGACUAAAAGAGAAUUCUUCUUUACUUUGGACCUCAAUCUUCCAAAGCAUGUAAAAUGCAAAUGCUCAUUAAUAUAUAUCUACCAAGUGAUUCUACUGAUAUGCAGUUAUUUGUCUCUGAUAAAUAAUUAACACUUUUCUUUACGAGUAUCAAAGAGCAAAUUAACCUAAACCGAAGAUCAGAGGCAGGGGAGAUGUACAGAGAGAGAAUAUCCUUACGGCAGACCCUACCCUGGGACACGUGACGAUCCUGUCGCACCAUAUUGCUGCGCGUUUGCUUGACUUGCCAGGAACAGGCAAAGAAGCAAGACACAAGCUCCCUACGCGCGGAGUCACUGUGCCGUGGCAAUCCUUGCAGGACGGCUCUGCCCUUCACGCCCGCUGUUGGCUCAAGAGACUCACGCAUUUGGGGAGGAUGCAAAACCUCAUGGAAAGUCUGCUUGAUUGCACCUGCGCUCCCGUUUGCAGAGCACACAAAUACCUUUAGGAGCGGUUGUUAAGCAGGCAUUUAUUUGUGCUCGGUACACGUUCGGCAUGCUACAACUGCGGGGCAUUUGGGACCUGUUCUUCCUGAUCGUGGUACCCUUCCCAUGGGGCAGGGAACUGCCUGCACUCCCAGCAGUUGUUACAAAUAUAAUGAGGUAGUAACAUAUAGCCAUCACUCCUAAGGCACAUCUCUUAAGGUAGCAACAUCACCAGAAAGACACAGUCUUCCUUUUUACUUAAUUGCUAUCAUCUUUAUAGAUGUUUCUAAUAGAGACCAUGGAUUCUAGCUUGCCGCUUCCUCUGAAACUUUGUAAUAAGCCCUGGCGUUUGAUUUUGAAGACAGUCCACCAGGUCAGUGGGAGUUUGGUUUCAGUAAGUGGCGAAUGAAAGCAGAGGGUCACAGCCUCAACCUUGCGAAUACUUACGAGCUCGCUUUGCAGCAGGACACGCGCACUUCCUCUGGUGGCGUUCCCAGUUGGCUCACAUCAAUGAUCCAACUCUUCGUGACUUUAGGAGGGCCACAAAUCAGUAGGGCGGCCCCAAUUCAAAAUUAAAUCCUGUGACAAGUGUUUCUAGGCUGGAAUAUAGCUGUCAUAAUUAAUAAAAUAAGACACCAA